UAUAAACUCUAACAGAAAGAACCAGAUAGUAAUAUUGAAAGAAGAAAAUCAUCCAGAUGAAUCCUCCUCACAAAAUAUAUAUACAACUUCCCUUAGUGGAGCUUGACAAGUGUCCAAUGCAUUCAAAAUUUUUCCUAAUAAAUGGCCUGCAAAUACUGGAGGAAAUUUAAAUGAAAAUCUUGUCCUCAUACAAUUUGACCAGUCAACUCAAUUGGUUCUUAACCGAUUCUUAACACGAAAGCAAACUAGCACAGUGCUCAAACAAAC
rnacentral:lncRNA from 1 species